CAGCCCCUCUCAAUUGAAGGGCUUUCUUUGUGGUCUAUAGAAAACUAAUGACUACCUAGGGAGAACUUUGAAAACAUAAAGCGUACAGUAUUCUUUGAUUAUGUGGUCUAUCUGAAAUUGAAUGGAGCAAAAAAACUGAACAUGAAAAGUUCAAAGUGUCCUUCCUUAGAGUUCUUUCUUCUAAUUCCAAGGCAUUUUUUUUUUCUCUUUCUAAAAUCAAUGAUGAAGAGUGAGCUGUGAAAAAAUUCAAAUACUGGAUUUUUAAUCCCAGGUAAGUGGCAUAAUUUUUAAGCAGGUAGCUGCUUUUUUGUUAGUUAAUAUUUAAUCUGAUGCUUCAAAGGUCAUUGAAAACCAGUUAAAAUGUUACCCAACAAAUGCUCUGGUUACUUCUAAUGAUGUUAAAAUGUAAAUUCCUAGCCUUCCUGUGGAAGAGGGGUCCUUUGAAAGCAGUGGACUUCCGGUCCAGGGUACUGGGCUAGCCUAGCAUUGUUUCAGACAGGGUGUCCUGUAGCCUUGGGACUCUGGGUGCUCAGAGGUGGCUUACUCCUCAGCAGGAGGGGGUUUCAUAUGCAAUCCAGCUAUUUCUGUAAGGUGGGUCACCAUAUAUAUGUAGGUAUAUACAUAUAUAUGUAGGUUUUAUUUGAUCCUAGCUGUCUGACAUUAUUCAAAUUCCUAAAUGUUUCCAAGGCCCACUGAUUAAAAGAAAAUAAAAACUACCCACAUUAACAUUUGUGAGGAGUAAAUGAUAUCAAUUACUGAUUUUCUCUAAAUAGGGAAUCAAUAGGAGAGGACUCAGGACAGUACCUGAUACAAUAAGUACUCUUUUUCCUCUAAGAAUCUGGUCUAGGCCCAGCUAACCAUAAAGUUACAAGGACCAAUGAAUUGCUAACAACAUAAAAACUUGUAAUGCCAGACCCAGCUAAUUUGAAUUGUUGAUCAUCUGUAUAAACUAUGUAAUCAGGGGCUGGGGGUGUAGACUGGCAUGUGUAGAGACCUGGGUUCCAUCCCAGUACCACCACCACCACCACCAAAAAAAAAAAAAGUGUAAUCAGUUUCAAGGUUGUAAGAAAAGAGACUGAUGAAAAACUGAAUUUAUUUUUAACUAAGUUAGCAAAAAGAGCUGUUUGAUUAAGGAAUUACAUUGUCUGAAGGUACUUUAUCACUACUAACUUAUGUAAGAAAACUCAUAAAUCAUCCUUAUCUUUCCUUUUGUCCAAGAUGCACAGUUGUCUACUCCAGGCAACACCUGAGCAGUUUAGUUUAUUUCUGCUCAAAAUACAGAAAAUUCUGUCCACAUGCAUAUUUCCCUAUUCGGAUAUUUAUUCAAUGCAUUUACAUUCUUCUCCAUAGUGUAACUCAGUGCACAUUUACUCUGUGCUUUUGAAAGAGUUGCAAGAAAAUGAUCUCUGUAUUCCAGCUCAUCAUGACUCAGCAUUGAAGGUAUUUUUAUCCAGAUCUCUUAAAUCAGCAUCCCAUUCAACACAGCUCCCAUCGGAACACUGGUCUGCCCUUUCUUUUUUUUUUUUUUUUUAAUUUUUUAUUGUGGGUUGUUCAAAACAUUACAAAUUUCUUGACAUAUCAUAUUCCACACUUUGAUUCUAGUGGGUUAUGAACUCCCACCUUCACCCCAUAUACAGAUUGCAGAUUCACAUCAGUUACACAUCCAUUGAUUUACAAAUUGCCAUACUAGUGUCUGUUGUGCUCCGCUGCCUUUCCCAUCAUCCACCCUCCCCCCUC
rnacentral:lncRNA from 1 species